rnacentral:rRNA from 1 species
CAGCAGCCGCGGGAAUACGGAGGGUGCAAGCGUUAAUUGGAAUUACUGGGCGUAAAGCGCACGCAGGCGGUCUGACAAGUCAGAUGUGAAAUCCCCGGGCUUAACCUGGGAACUGCAUUUGAAACUGUCAGGCUGGAGUCUUGUAGAGGGGGGUGGAAUUCCAGGUGUAGCGGUGAAAUGCGUAGAGAUCUGGAGGAAUACCGGUGGCGAAGGCGGCCCCCUGGACAAAGACUGACGCUCAGGUGCGAAAGCGUGGGGAGCAAACAGGAUUAGAUACCCCUGUAGUCCCUGUCUCUUAUAC